rnacentral:rRNA from 1 species
CCCUUUUCCAGGUGCCGACCUUAGCCAUGCAAAUUUGGGUGGAAGUCGUAACAUGUUAGCCGUAAUUCCCUGAUGUGGGGGAUAACCAUUGGAAACAUGGCUAAUACCGCAUGAUGCCUACGGGCCAAAGAGGGGGACCUUCGGGCCUCUCGCGUCAGGAUAUGCCUAGGUGGGAUUAGCUAGUUGGUGAGGUAAGGGCUCACCAAGGCGACGAUCCCUAGCUGGUCUGAGAGGAUGAUCAGCCACACUGGAACUGAGACACGGUCCAGACUCCUACGGGAGGCAGCAGUGGGGAAUAUUGCUCACUGGGCGCACGCCUGAUGCAGCCAUGCCCCGUGUGUGAAAAAAAGCAUUCCCUUUUUAUAGCACUUUCACUCUCGAGGAAAGAAGAGUCGUGAAUAUUUGCCGUUUUUUGACUUUACGACACAACAGAAACAGCCUAUCUCUACUGUCCGCAGCCCGCGGCAGUACUGAGAGUGGAGAGCGGUUAUUCGUCAUUUAUUAGUUCGUCGAGCGCAAGCCGCUGGUUUUGUUGUUUUUCUUAUGUUCAAAUCUCCAGGCCCCGCCUUCUCACUACCAUUUUAACUUGUUAGACUACGAUACUCUAGAGCGGGGGAGGAGUGUUGGAGUCUUCGUGUAUACGUUAAAUAUUCAUAAGAAAUUACAAGGAGUAAGGUGCCGACCGUA